rnacentral:rRNA from 1 species
AGCAUGUGGUUUAAUCGAAGCAACGCGAAGAACCUUACCUGGGUUUGAACUGCAGUGGAAGACGCCAGAGAUGGCGUCGCCCCUUCGGGGGCCGCUGUGGAGGUGCUGCAUGGCUGUCGUCAGCUCGUGUCGUGAGAUGUUGGGUUAAGUCCCGCAACGAGCGCAACCCUUGCUCAUAGUUGCCAGCGGUUCGGCCGGGCACUCUAUGGGGACUGCCGGUGAUAAACCGGAGGAAGGUGGGGAUGACGUCAAGUCCUCAUGGCCUUUAUGUCCAGGGCUACACACGUGCUACAAUGGACGGUACAAAGAGUUGCGAUCCCGCGAGGGGGAGCUAAUCUCAAAAAGCCGUUCUCAGUUCGGAUUACAGUCUGCAACUCGACUGUAUGAAGCUGGAAUCGCUAGUAAUCGCGGAUCAGCACGCCGCGGUGAAUACGUUCCCGGGCCUU